AGCAAGGAGGUUCUUUACAGAAGAAUCAGCCUGAUGAGCACUGGUUUUCAUGUGCUUGCUUUGUUUGCAUGCUUUGUGUUUUUCCAUUGGACCAACCAAUGGACUUGCAUGACUAGAAAUUCAGGCAAGCAAAUUCCAUAAGCAGCUUGACAGCUACACAAGACUAAGAAGGCAAAGGCUACAGAGCAGAAGGCUCUUAAAAGCAAAGGCUUCUUAAAUGAAAUAUUGGUGGUCCUCACCUCUUGUCUUCAGUUCUCAUGACCCAGGGUUAGCAAGAGAAGUCAGUACAGCUAUUCCAUUCUUAUCUCCAGAGUAACCUGGCACA